CCUACGGGUGGCAGCAGUGGGGAAUAUUGCACAAUGGGGGAAACCCUGAUGCAGCGACGCCGCGUGAGUGAAGAAGCGCCUCGGCGCGUUAAGCUCUGUUUGUAGGAACGAAAAUGACGGUACGUGAAGAAGAAGGCCCGGCUAACUACGAGCCAGCAGCCGCGGUAAUACGGAGGGGGCAAGCGUUAUCCGGAUUUACCGGGUGUAAAGGGAGCGUAGUCGGUGGGGCAAGUCCGGAGUGAAAGGCCGGGGCCCAACCCCAGGACCGCUGUGGAAACUGCCCGGCUGGAGUGCGGGAGAGGUAGGCGGAAUGCCUGGUGUAGCGGUGAAAUGCAUAGAUAUUAGGAAGAACACCGGCGGCGAAGGCAGCUUACUGGACCGUAACUGACGUUGAGGCUCGAAAGCGUGGGGAGCAAACAGGAUUAGAUACCCCAGUAGUC
rnacentral:rRNA from 1 species